AGAUUGAACGCUGGCGGCAUGCCUUACACAUGCAAGUCGAACGGCAGCACGGGAGCAAUCCUGGUGGCGAGUGGCGAACGGGUGAGUAAUACAUCGGAACGUGCCCAAUAGUGGGGGAUAACCCGGCGAAAGCCGGACUAAUACCGCAUACGACCUACGGGUGAAAGCAGGGGAUCGCAAGACCUUGCGCUAUCGGAGCGGCCGAUGUCAGAUUAGCUUGUUGGCGGGUAAAAGCCCACCAAGGCGACGAUCUGUAGCUGGUCUGAGAGGACGACCAGCCACACUGGGACUGAGACACGGCCCAGACUCCUACGGGAGGCAGCAGUGGGGAAUUUCCGCAAUGGACGCAAGUCUGACGGAGCAACGCCGCGUGCAGGAUGACGGCCUUCGGGUUGUAAACUGCUUUCUGUGAGACGAGAACGGACGGUAUCACAGGAAUCAGCCCGGCUAACUACGUGCCAGCAGCCGCGGU
rnacentral:rRNA from 1 species